GACGAACGCUGGCGGCGUGCCUAAUACAUGCAAGUUGAGCGCUGAAGGUUGGUACUUGUACCGACUGGAUGAGCAGCGAACGGGUGAGUAACGCGUGGGGAAUCUGCCUUUGAGCGGGGGACAACAUUUGGAAACGAAUGCUAAUACCGCAUAAAAACUUUAAACACAAGUUUUAAGUUUGAAAGAUGCAAUUGCAUCACUCAAAGAUGAUCCCGCGUUGUAUUAGCUAGUUGGUGAGGUAAAGGCUCACCAAGGCGAUGAUACAUAGCCGACCUGAGAGGGUGAUCGGCCACAUUGGGACUGAGACACGGCCCAAACUCCUACGGGAGGCAGCAGUAGGGAAUCUUCGGCAAUGGACGAAAGUCUGACCGAGUAACGCCGCGUGAGUGAAGAAGGUUUUCGGAUCGUAAAACUCUGUUGGUAGAGAAGAACGUUGGUGAGAGUGGAAAGCUCAUCAAGUGACGGUAACUACCCAGAAAGGGACGGCUAACUACGUG
rnacentral:rRNA from 1 species